CCCCUAGAUGUUCUGGGCCGCACGCGCGCUACACUGAACAGUUCAACAAGUCUUAACCUUGGCCGAUAGGUCUGGGUAAUCUUUGAACGCUGUUCGUGAUUGGGAUAGACCUUUGCAAUUUUGGGUCUUCAACGAGGAAUUCCUAGUAAACGCAAGUCAUCAGCUUGCAUUGAUUACGUCCCUGCCCUUUGUACACACCGCCCGUCGCACCUACCGAUUGAAUGGUCCGGUGAAAUCUCGGGACGGCGGCUUGGUCGCUUGCGUCCGACUGCUGAAACUUGAUUAAACCAUAUCAUUUAGAGGAAGGUGAANUCGUANCA
rnacentral:rRNA from 1 species